UACGUAGGGGGCAAGCGUUGUCCGGAUUUAUCGGGCGUAAAGAGCGUGUAGGCGGUCUGGUAGGUCCGUUGUGAAAACUCGAGGCUCAACCUCGAGACGCCGAUGGAAACCAUCAGACUAGAGUCCGGAAGAGGAGAGUGGAAUUCCUGGUGUAGCGGUGAAAUGCGCAGAUAUCAGGAAGAACACCCGUGGCUAAGGCGGCUCUCUAGUACGGUACUGACGCUGAGACGCGAAAGCGUGGGGAGCGAACAGG
rnacentral:rRNA from 1 species